rnacentral:rRNA from 1 species
GACGAACGCUGGCGGCGUGCCUAAUACAUGCAAGUCGAGCGAAGUUUUUCUGGUGCUUGCACUAGAAAAACUUAGCGGCGAACGGGUGAGUAACACGUAAAGAACCUGCCUCAUAGACGGGGACAACUAUUGGAAACGAUAGCUAAUACCGGAUAACAGCAUAAAUCGCAUGAUAUAUGUUUAAAAGUUGGUUUCGGCUAACACUAUGAGGUGGCUUUGCGGUGCAUUAGCUAGUUGGUGGGGUAAAGGCCUACCAAGGCGACGAUGCAUAGCCGACCUGAGAGGGUGAUCGGCCACACUGGGACUGAGACACGGCCCAGACUCCUACGGGAGGCGGCAGUAGGGAAUCUUCCGCAAUGGGCGAAAGCCUGACGGAGCAACGCCGCGUGAGUGAAGAAGGAUUUCGGUUCGUAAAGCUCUGUUGUUAGGGAAGAAUGAUUGUAUAGUAACUAUAUACAGUAGAGACGGUACCUAACCAGAAAGCCACGGCUAACUACGUGCCAGCAGCCGCGGUAAUACGUAGGUGGCAAGCGUUGUCCGGAAUUAUUGGGCGUAAAGCGCGCGCAGGUGGUUUAAUAAGUCUGAUGUGAAAGCCCACGGCUCAACCGUGGAGGGUCAUUGGAAACUGUUAAACUUGAGUGCAGGAGAGAAAAGUGGAUUCCUAGUGUAUCGGUGAAAAUGCUUAAGAUUAGGAGGAAAACCCGUUGCAAGGAGGUUUCUGGUAUAAAGUGAGCCGAAAGCGAGAUGGUGGGGAUCAACUUAUUAUAAUUCUCUUUUUCCUGGGUGCG